rnacentral:rRNA from 1 species
AUGGAUCUGGCGACGGGGGCCAUGGGCAGCCUCCUCCUCAAGCUCGGCGGCCUCCUUACGGACGAGUACAAGCUGCAGGCCGGAGUCAAGGAAGACGUACAGUACCUCAAGAGAGAGCUGACAAGCAUGUACGCCGCCCUCCGCAAGGUCGGGGACGUGCCGCGGGACGAGCUCGACGUGCAAGUCCAGCUCUGGGCCGACGACGUCAGGGACCUCUCAUACAGAAUGGAGGACGUCGUCGACAAGUUCCUGGUGCGCGUCGAGGGCCCCAAGGCUUCUUCCGCUGCCGCCGACAAACCACGCAAGCUCAAACGGCUCAUGGAGAAGAUGGGCGACCUGUUCACCAAGGGCAGGACUCGCCACCAGAUCGCCGACGAGGUCAAGGGCAUCAAGGCCCGAGUCCAGGAGGCAGCUGACCGGCGUGAUAGGUACAAGGUCCAUGAUGUGGUUGCUAGUCCAGCAGGCUCAGCAACGGUUGACCCUCGCCUGAUGUCUCUGUAUAAAGAUCGGAAAGAACUGGUUGGCAUCGAUGAGCCGUUGAGCAACCUAACUGAGAUGCUGACUGAGGGGGAUACUGAUGUGUCCAGGCAACUUAAGAUAGUUUCUAUUGUUGGAUUCGGAGGUCUUGGCAAGACUAGUCUUGCUAAAGCAGUGUAUGAUAAGCUCCAAUGGCAAUUCGAUUGCAGCGCUUUUGUUCCGGUGGGACUGAAAUCUAGCGUGAAGAAACUUCUCAAUGACAUUCUCUUUGAAAUCGACAAGCAAAAGCAUCAGGAUUCUAUUUUAUCUUCAUGGGACGAAAGGCAGCUCAUCGACCAACUCAGAAGAUCACUGGCGACCAAGAGGUACUUCAUCGUGAUUGAUGAUAUGUGGGAUACAGAAGCGUGGGAAAUAAUCAGAUGUGCUCUUGUUGAUAAUAAUUGUGCAAGCAGGAUAGUCACAACUACUCGUAUUCUCGAGGUUGCGACAAAAACCGGUGAAGUAUACAAGCUAAAACCACUUUCUCAUGAUUUAGCUGAGGAACUAUUUCAUACAAGAUUGUUUGGUGGCAAAAACAAAGGCGCUUGUCAUCAGCCAGCAGAGGUAUACGAGAAAAUGUUGCAUAAAUGUGGUGGUGCACCGUUGGCUAUAAUCACAAUGGCUAGCUUGCUUGUUGGUAAACCAGUGGAGUUUUGGUCUAAGGUGUACAACUCAAUUGGUUUUGGAAAUGAAGAUAACAAAGAUGUCCACAACACGAGGAAGAUACUUUUAUUUAGCUACUAUGAUCUUCCUUGCUAUCUAAGGACUUGCUUAUUGUAUAUGAGCAUAUAUCCAGAAGAACAUCUAAUCGAGAAAGAUAGUCUGAUAUGGAAGUGGGUUGCCGAGGGUUUUAUUCAUGAGGAAGCAGGGGUAGGAUUAUAUGAGAUUGGUGAAAGAUAUUUCAACGAGCUGAUAAAUAAAAGCAUGAUACAACCGGUAGAUUCCCACCCGUAUGAUCGCACCAUUACAGGUUACUACGACAUCAUUACGGGUUGCCGUAUUCAUGAUAUGGUUCUUGACAUGAUCUGUCGGUUAGCAAAGGAAGAAAACUUUGUCACUGCAUUGUACAAUAAUGAGCAACAAGCAUAUACAGUACAUGACAAUGUCCGUAGGUUAGCUGUUGGAGACAAAAACUGUCUGGCUAACACAUGUAUGCCACAAGUAAGGUCAUUUAAUGUCUUGAGUACCGAUGUUAAGCUGCCAUCGCUUUCAUGCUUUCAAGUUUUACGUGUCCUAGCUCUAGAAGGUGAUACCUCUUCUGAACAUGACACUACUUGCCUUGAGCAUCUUGGAAAGUUAGUUCACUUGAGGUAUCUUGGACUAAGGAAUAUAAAUAUCAGUGAGCUCCCAAAGGAAAUAGGAGAUCUAAAAUUCUUACAGAUGUUGGAGAUGAAGGAUUGCAACAAACUACUGAAACUGCCACAGAGUAUUGGUCAAUUAAGUCAACUCAAGUGCCUGCGUGUUUACGCGGACCGGUUUUCGAUGCUGCAAUGUCUGGAAGACACAGCACUAGACUGGAUCAGAAACCUGACAUCUCUGGAAGAGUUAUGCUUAUUGAACGUCAGUGAGUCCUCAAACUUUGUGAAUGAUCUCGGAAAGCUGACAGAGUUGAGGAAGCUUUGCAUUGUAUCUUUACGGUUGAAGAGUGCGAGCUUGAUAAAAGAUUGGGAGGAGUCUCUAGCCAAACUGCAGAAAAUUCAGGUCAUAGACAUUGGUUGGUUUAUAUAUAAAGAAGAAGGUGAUGCCACCUACUGCCGAGAAGGCUAUGUCCCCCCUCGCCAACUCCGUGUUCUGCAUAUGCAGUACAAACAACCUGGGCUGCCUAUAAAGAUUAGUCCAUCUCUUCAACCAAACCUCUCCCACUUAUCAUUACAAGUGAAUGUUCUAGAUGUGGAGAUCUUUGGAAGGUUCCCAGAGCUCGUUACUCUCCAGCUGGAUGUGAAUACUUAUCACUAUGAUGUCACGGGAGCUCCAGGUGCAUUCCCCAAGUUGAGAGCUUUCAAGACGGACGGAACGCCCCGUUUCCUUGGAGUAAUGCCAAAUCUUGAAUAUCUCGAGUUCGUCGUCUCAGUUAUGGACCUCAACACUAAACCUGACUUUGGUAGCUUGGUGAAUCUCCCUAUGCUUCGGAGAGUCGUAAUUCUAGUAUGGUACAACUUCAAUGAAUUCGAUUCAGAGAAGGCUAAGGAUGUGGUGAGGGAGGCAAUCUUUUCCGGCCCCAGUGGUUUCACAUUUGAACUGAAGACGUACUAA